UACGUAGGCAGCGAGCGUUGUUCGGAGUUACUGGGCGUAAAGGGUGCGUAGGCGGCCUAUUAAGUUUGUCGUGAAAUCUCCCGGCUCAACUGGGAGGGUGCGGCGAAUACUGAUGGGCUUGGAGUGUGGGAGAGGAGAGUGGAAUUCCUGGUGUAGCGGUGAAAUGCGUAGAUAUCAGGAGGAACACCGGCGGUGUAGACGGCUCUCUGGACCAUAACUGACGCUGAGGCACGAAAGCGUGGGUAGCAAACAGG
rnacentral:rRNA from 1 species